AGAAGUUUAAAAUAAAACUAUUGUUAACCUGGUCAGUCAAAAGCCUCCAAUGUUUCCUCAGACUCUAUUUCAACCAAUUAAAAAGUUUUUAUUUUACGAAAAGUUAAUUUACAGCUGGUUUUAAAUUAACACUAUAGCACUAACAUUAUAGUGUCCCUGUGCCUAUGUAGAGUAGUGGCCCAAACCGUGUGAAAUAAAAAUGAAAAAAAAAAAAGGGUUUGCUUAUCUGUUUUCAGCACUGAGACUGACAGCCAUACUUAACCCACUGAGGUUUCUACAAAAUGUCAAUGUUUCACCUUUGGGGGUUGAACCAACAGGACCACUGCACUCAGACCACUUAAUUGAGAUUGGCUUUAGUGGUCCUUUAAACAUCUGAAUGCAAUUCCCUAUAUAUUAUCUUCUUGUUGAACUAAAGAAGUGGACCUCUGAAAUAAUUUAUUUGCCAUUCUCUCUCACUCACUACCCUCAAUAUAGUGCAUUAGGCAGGAGUCUAUGUACCCUAUAUCCAUAUGUAUAUGAUUUUGUUAUACUUGUUUAUAAAAUCCCCUCAAUUUCUUCAUGUCGUGAACUAAGUCUUGCUGAUCUAUACUGUAGAAUAGAAUGAUGUAGAUGAGGUACUUUAUUUCUUUUUUGAAAUAUACAGUGAUUUCAAAAUCACAACAAAGACAGAUGCUUAAUGUAUAAUUACCCGCAUUAGCAAUUUCUUUUUAUCUAACUAAGAGUAAAUACAUUUUUGAUAGCAGUUCAGAGAAAAGCAUCGACUUGUUUCAAACCAUAAAUAGCAUUGCUAUUAUUCUGCAUUUUCACAGAUUUGUUAGUUUUAUGGCCUGGAUCCCCAAUUAUUUGAUGCUUAACAGGAGGAAAUGUUCAGUCUACGUAACUCUCCUGCAAUCGGGCCUCAGUUUGAUAAUUGCUCAAUGAGUUUUGUCUGCAAGAGAGGUCAUAAUUAACCGAAAAUGAGACAACCAAUUUAGGUAUAAUUAUGACCCUCUUUAAACAAUUGCAAUAGUUGUUAAUCUAAAACAGUUUUGUAAUGGGAUCAGAUAUGGUAAUAUGAUUAAAGAGACACCCUGUGGAUUUCUGUAUCAUUAGAAGACUGUUAAUGGCUGCAUAUUUUAAAAAAGCAUAACGCAUUCUCCUAGUUAAGGAGAAUCUGUCAUUCAAAAAUAACAACAUUUUAUAGUGUUUACAUGUUACCUAUAAAUUAGUGUUGCUGCUAGAAAAUGGUAUAGAUCAAAUAAUUUCCGUACUGUGGUGGAUAUAGGCCUACCUGUGGCAUUCCACUAAGACUAGUAUGGUGUGAAACUUUUCACAUAUGUAUUUACAUCUACUAGGGUGACCAUCUUGAAUGUAUCCAUAUGCUUUCGAUUUUGUUAUAUCAUUGUAUGUAAUGAAUUGUAAUACCUUUCGCAAGUUGGACCUGUCAUCCCCAUUGAAGGAGUAAUUAUAGUGUAACUUUAGGUAGCUACUUGGGGCCCAUGGAUGAGGCAGAGGGCCUGGAACCACAAAUUUUCUUGGAUCCAUUCACCAUCCCUAUGUGAACAAUAAGGGGCCCCAAAACAGUAAAAUGCCUAGAACCCUGUGGGACCUUACUUCACACACAUGUAGAUUACAGAUCUACUUUAAAGUGGCAUUAUGCAUUGGUUUUGCGUUAUUAUUCUUCACAGAAACAAAAUUGAAAAUUCAAAUGCAGCCCAAGUACGUUUAAAAGGACAUUAUUAUUCUUAUAUUUUUUCUGAUUUGUGGGGCUUUUAACUAUUCAGUUAUUCACUAAUAUUGCAAAAUAGACACUACAUUAGUUGUGACUGUAACUGAAUUAGAUUUUUUAAAAUCUGCUAUUUUUGCCUAAGUUUUUUUAUUUUUUAUUCCCUACUGUUCGAUGUUGUGGUUUACACAGGCAGAAACACCUGACAACUUAUAGGACUGGAAACGAGUGUUGGGAGUAAUACUGUGCCCCAGUCAAUCACCACUAGCUGAAAGCAGUGUAAGGUCAUCUCUCAUUGCUAGUGCAGGGUACCAAUGAAUGCAAGCUGGUGACAUUCUAAAAAAUGCAGAAAUGCAGCAUACCUGUCCAAGUAGCCUAACAGACAUUCUAAAACAAUUAUCAUAUUUUUUCUCUAGUGAUAUAUCAUAAAAUUACUUAAAAAUGACCUUUAAAAAAAAAAAAAAUUGGGUGGGAUCUCAUUCAUUUUACAGUUUUAUUCCAGCAUCACAUUAACCUAACAAGUGGCAAUUAUCCUAAUAAGUCUUAUUGGCCAUAGAUAGUCUAUCUUACUGCCUUGUAUUAAUUGCUGUGCUCUCACACUUCCUUUCAUUAAGACAUGACGUGCAAAUGGGCAUUGAUGAUAUUACACCCACAUAUCACAGAUCAUAAAAAAUUAUGAAUAUUAUAUACAUACAAUUUUCCUAUGAGAUACCCUGCCUUGCUAGUGUGGCUUAUUUAUGUUGCUUCUGAAUGCAAGGGAUCGUUGGAGCUACAUGCUCUGGUUUGUCAGUCUAGAGUGGCGCAGAAGGCAGACUCCUGAAAGUUGCGUUGCCUCAAUGAAGAAUCUAAGUUUCACUUUUAAAAUAAAAAAAAAGUUAAAUUUGGGGAAUGUUUGACUCUAAGAAUACAUUUGAUCAAUUGUAAAGAUGUUUUAAAGCAUUCUGACUGAGAGUGCUCCAUAAGAACUAUUAAAUAAAUACAUUUAAUAUAAGUUAUAGACUGUUUGAAUUGAUUUAUAAUAAUAUGGAAACACUGCGUGUGAAGGGUCAAUUCAUAGUUUUGUUUCGCAUUUGUAUACUAAUCUACUUCCUGUUAUAUCGGCAGCACAGGGAGGAACCAGCAUCCUUGCUCUAAAAUAUGAGAAUCUCUUUUCUGUGGCCAUUUUUGACAAAAAUCCAUAACAGAUAAGUCUGCCAAAAAUACAGUGGCAGAAAAAAAGAAAAAAAAAACGUGAGACAUUAAACCUUUCUGGUGGAGAAAAUUGAUGAAAAGAUUGAUAAUUUGUUGCACAGCCCAAAAAAAUUGCGUACGAUCUAAAAUGAAGGGUGCUAAAGACGCAGACAAAAAGCCCCAAUUUAGUUUGCCCCCACAGAAAAAAAUGAGCAUAACUGACUGUGGCACUUUUCAGCUUGUUCCUGUUAAUGCCAUUUUAUGACCAAGUUAUCUUAACGGUACAAAAUACCCGACACCUUAACAGAAAGUCUAACGUUGUAUACCACACUACCAAUUCUAAGUAAGCAGGAUAUUUCAUCACAGUCUAAUAUUUUUAAAGAUCAGAUUAUUGCAAAGGAGUUCUGCAAUAGUUUGUCCUUAACGGGUUGAAUAUUAUUUGCAUAUGAAAGUAGGGACAUUGGGUUUAUUUAUUAAAAGAAAACUUAGGCUUUUGGAAGAACUUCCAAAAAGAUUAUUUUCUGCAACUUUGAUUCAGCUUUGCUAGUGCACAUAGCCGCAGUGGUUUAGAAGACUUUCCAAUUGGUUAAACGCAGCAAAACAAAUGAAACACAUAAUGGUGACGGAAUGUGUGUAUGCUUGUAUGAAUAAAUUAUG